rnacentral:lncRNA from 1 species
AUCACAGGGCCCCCAAUGGAGGAGCUAGAGAAAGUAUCCAAGGAGCUAAAGAGAUCUGCAACCCUGUAGGUGCAACAACAUUAUGAACUAACCAGUACCCCGGAGCUCUUGACUCUAGCUGCAUAUGUAUCAAAAGAUGGCCUAGUGGGGGGGAGGGUAUGGGGGACUUUUGGGAUAGCAUUGGAAAUGUAAUUGAGGAAAAUACGUAAUAAAAAAAAUAUUAAAAAAAAAAUUAAAAAAAAAAAGUCUAGUGAGCCGGGCAGUGGUGGUGUAUGCCUUUAAUUCCAGCACUUGGGAGGCAGAGGCAGGCGGAUUUCUGAGUUCGAGGACAGCCUGGUCUACAAAGUGAGUUCCAGGACAGCCAGGGCUAUACAGAGAAACCCUGUCUC